UACAGAGGUCUCAAGCGUUGUUCGGAUUCAUUGGGCGUAAAGGGUGCGUAGGCGGCGCGGCACGUCCGUUGUGAAAUCGCUCGGCUCAACUGGGCGAGGUCAGCGGAUACGGUCGAGCUUGAGCCAGCUAGGGGGCAAUGGAAUUCCCGGUGUAGUGGUGGAAUGCGUAGAUAUCGGGAGGAACACCAGUGGCGAAGGCGGUUGCCUGGGGCUGUGCUGACGCUGAUGCGCGAAAGCGUGGGGAGCGAUCCGG
rnacentral:rRNA from 1 species